AGAGUUUGAUCAUGGCUCAGGACGAACGCUGGCGGCGUGCCUAACACAUGCAAGUCGAACGAAAUUUAGGCAUAAGGUUUACCUUAUGUUGAAGAUUUAGUGGCGGACGGGUGAGUAACGCGUGAGCAAUCUACCUUGCAGAAGGGGAUAGCGGCUAGAAAUGGUCGAUAAUACCUAAUGACAUAUAUAUUUCGCAUGGAAGAUAUAUUAAAGGGAUUUGGUUAGCUAAGUUUGCUGCAAGAUGAGCUCGCGUCUGAUUAGAUAGUUGGUGGGGUAACGGCCUACCAAGUCAACGAUCGGUAGCCGGACUGAGAGGUUUGGACGGCCACAUUGGGGACUGAAAAUACGGCCCAGACUCCCUACGGGAGGCAGCAGUGGGGGGAUAUUGCCACAAUGGGGGAAACCCUGAUGCAGCGACGUUCGCGUGAGGGAAGGAAGGUCUUAGGAUUGGUAAACCCUCUGACUUUAAAGAAGAUGAUGACGGUAUUUUAAAGAAAUAGCUCCGGCUAACUACGUGCCAGCAGCCGCGGGUAAUACGUACGGAGCAAGCGUUGUCCGGAAUUACUGGGUAUAAAGGGAGAGUAGGCGGGUUUGCAAGUUAAAUGUGAAAUUUAUGAGCUCAACUCAUAAACUGCGUUUAAAACUGCAGAUCUUGAGUAAAGCAGAGGCAGGUGGAAUUCCUAGUGUAGCGGUGAAAUGCGUAGAUAUUAGGAGGAACACCAGUGGCGAAGGCGGCCUGCUGGGCUUUUACUGACGCUGAGGCUCGAAAGCAUGGGGAGCAAACAGGAUUAGAUACCCUGGUAGACCAUGCCGUAAACGAUGAUUACUAGGUGUAGGCGUGCAAACGUCUGUGCCGGAGUUAAUACAAUAAGUAAUCCACCUGGGGAGUACGACCGCAAGGUUAAAACUCAAAGGAAUUGACGGGGGCCCGCACAAGCAGUGGAGUAUGUGGUUUAAUUCGAAGCAACGCGAAGAACCUUACCGGGUUUUGACAUCCUGCUAACGAAGUAGAGAUACAUUAGGUGUCCAUGUUAUGCAUGGAAAAGCAGAGACAGGUGGUGCAUGGUUGUCGUCAGUUCGUGUCGUGAGAUGUUGGGUUAAGUCCCGGAACGAACGCAACCCUUGCCAAUAGUUACUACGAGAGAGGACUCUAUUGGUACUGCCGUUGAUAAGACGGAGGAAGGAGGGGAUGACGUCAAAUCAUCAUGCCCUUUAUGACCCGGGCUACACACGUACUACAAUGGUCGAUACAAAGGGAAGCGAGAUUGCGAGAUUUAGCAAAGCCCUAAAAUCGAUCUCAGUUCGGAUUGUAGGCUGCAACUCGCUUACAUGAAGCAGGAAUUGCUAGUAAUCGCAAAUCAGAAUGUUGCGGUGAAUACGUUCCCGGGCCUUGUACACACCGCCCGUCACACCACGAGAGUCGGCGAUACCCGAAGUCAGUAUGUCUGACCUUUUCAUAGGAGGACGCUGCCGAAGGUAGGGCUGGUGAUUGGGGUGAAGUCGUAACAAGGUAACC
rnacentral:rRNA from 1 species